rnacentral:rRNA from 1 species
GAGGCGAACCGGGGGAACUGAAACAUCUAAGUACCCCGAGGAAAAGAAAUCAACCGAGAUUCCCCCAGUAGCGGCGAGCGAACGGGGAGGAGCCCAGAGCCUGAAUCAGUGUGUGUGUUAGUGGAAGCGUCUGGAAAGGCGCGCGAUACAGGGUGACAGCCCCGUACACAAAAAUGCACAUACUGUGAGCUCGAUGAGUAGGGCGGGACACGUGGUAUCCUGUCUGAAUAUGGGGGGACCAUCCUCCAAGGCUAAAUACUCCUGACUGACCGAUAGUGAACCAGUACCGUGAGGGAAAGGCGAAAAGAACCCCGGCGAGGGGAGUGAAAAAGAACCUGAAACCGUGUACGUACAAGCAGUGGGAGCCUCUUAAUGGGGUGACUGCGUACCUUUUGUAUAAUGGGUCAGCGACUUAUAUUCUGUAGCAAGGUUAACCGAAUAGGGGAGCCGAAGGGAAACCGAGUCUUAACUGGGCGUUAAGUUGCAGGGUAUAGACCCGAAACCCGGUGAUCUAGCCAUGGGCAGGUUGAAGGUUGGGUAACACUAACUGGAGGACCGAACCGACUAAUGUUGAAAAAUUAGCGGAUGACUUGUGGCUGGGGGUGAAAGGCCAAUCAAACCGGGAGAUAGCUGGUUCUCCCCGAAAGCUAUUUAGGUAGCGCCUCGUGAAUUCAUCUCCGGGGGUAGAGCACUGUUUCGGCAAGGGGGUCAUCCCGACUUACCAACCCGAUGCAAACUGCGAAUACCGGAGAAUGUUAUCACGGGAGACACACGGCGGGUGCUAACGUCCGUCGUGAAGAGGGAAACAACCCAGACCGCCAGCUAAGGUCCCAAAGUCAUGGUUAAGUGGGAAACGAUGUGGGAAGGCCCAGACAGCCAGGAUGUUGGCUUAGAAGCAGCCAUCAUUUAAAGAAAGCGUAAUAGCUCACUGGUCGAGUCGGCCUGCGCGGAAGAUGUAACGGGGCUAAACCAUGCACCGAAGCUGCGGCAGCGACACUAUGUGUUGUUGGGUAGGGGAGCG